GGACUACUGGGGUAUCUAAUCCUGUUUGCUCCCCACGCUUUCGCGUCUCAGCGUCAGUCACGUCCCAGCGAGCUGCCUUCGCCAUUGGUGUUCCUCCUGAUAUCUGCGCAUUUCACCGCUACACCAGGAAUUCCACUCGCCCCUUCCGGACUCUAGCCCGACAGUAUCCACCGGCAUUCCAGGGUUGAGCCCUGGACUUUCACAGCGGACUAAUCGGGCCGCCUACACGCUCUUUACGCCCAAUAAUUCCGGACAACGCUUGCACCCUACGUAUUACCGCGGCUGCUGGCAC
rnacentral:rRNA from 1 species